GAACACUGUCGCAGAAUUCCGCGAAUCAUCGAGUCUUUGAACGCAAGUUGCGCCCGAGGCUUGACCAAGGGCAUUUCUGCCAGAGCGUCACC
rnacentral:rRNA from 1 species